rnacentral:lncRNA from 1 species
AUGCACUUCUGUUUGGGGCUCCUGGCUUCUGAAAUGGCACUCUCUCCUGGUGUUUAUAGCUGCUUCCUCAUGCUCUGGCCGGUUCCUGCUCCUCCGUCUGCUCUGGAGCUCUGUCCUCAGACCUCUCUUCUCUUCAGCAGUGCUCCCCUCUGUGGCUUGUUAAACGUUCCCAUAUCUUAUUCUCAGCCUCCACCUCCUCACUGCUGCUGGAAGCAGAGCCUCUCUUUCCUCCAUCCGAAUCCCCUGCAGGCCUCCUCAGACCUUUACGCCAGAAAGUAUAAGACCACUGUCUCCCUGACCCAUCUUCUUGUUUUCUUUGCAAGGCCUGGGUCAAGAAAACAAUUGGAGCAUCACAUACCACAGGGAUCAAACUGUGAUCAAGGAAACAAGAAGGGCUUCCCGAGUGUCGCUGCCAGUACAGGAGACAUGAGAGACGCGGAUUCGGUCACGGGGUCAGGGAGAACCCCGGAGGAGGGCAUGGCAGCCCGCCCCAGUGUUCUCGCCUGGAGGAGUCUGGAGGGCUCUGGUCCACAGGGUCACAGAGUCGGAGAUGACUUAAGCGACUUAGCACACACGAAACAUGAAAUAUGCUCUCCCCUCUUCCUGAGACAGAUAGGCUUACAUGAAGACCUAGAAGAUCAGAUUCAACUUGCAGACUCCUGGGCUUUCCAGAGCUGGGUGUCAGCGGUCCCUGAGAACGGGCCCCCAGCAGAGCCCUCUUCUCUCUCAGCCAGGACUGUGUGCCCCCCGUGUGAGCUGCUGCUGCGGGCCGCCCUUGUGGCGUACACCCCAGAGGGCGUCCGCUCGCUGCCUCAGGGGAUCCAGGGGGUUCUGCGGGGCUCCUGGUGGCGUGUUCCCCGGACCGCGUGUGCACCGCCGGCGGAGGGGCCGGCCUUCCUGCAGGCGGCCUGCUUGUGUCCCCUCCACGUGGUGCCUCUUGCCUUCUCUGGGCCCCUGCUCCCCUUUGAACGCCUGCUCAUCCUUCAGAAUGUGGUUUCUACAGGCCUCAUCUUUUAG